rnacentral:rRNA from 1 species
AUUGAACGCUGGCGGCAGGCCUAACACAUGCAAGUCGAACGGUAACAGGAAGCAGCUUGCUGCUUUGCUGACGAGUGGCGGACGGGUGAGUAAUGUCUGGGAAACUGCCUGAUGGAGGGGGAUAACUACUGGAAACGGUAGCUAAUACCGCAUAACGUCGCAAGACCAAAGAGGGGGACCUUAGGGCCUCUUGCCAUCGGAUGUGCCCAGAUGGGAUUAGCUAGUAGGUGGGGUAACGGCUCACCUAGGCGACGAUCCCUAGCUGGUCUGAGAGGAUGACCAGCCACACUGGAACUGAGACACGGUCCAGACUCCUACGGGAGGCAGCAGUGGGGAAUAUUGCACAAUGGGCGCAAGCCUGAUGCAGCCAUGCCGCGUGUAUGAAGAAGGCCUUCGGGUUGUAAAGUACUUUCAGCGGGGAGGAAGGGAGUAAAGUUAAUACCUUUGAUCAUUGACGUUACCCGCAGAAGAAGCACCGGCUAACUCCGU